rnacentral:lncRNA from 1 species
UGAUAGCACCAAAAAUAACUCUACUCACUACGUAGGUAGGAUGAGUCGAGAUCGUAUCCUUAGGGACCUUGGGCUAAGUUGAGAUUGCAAAAUAAAAGAAAGAAGCAUUGUUUUGAUUUAGAAAAUAAAUUAUCUUAAAAUUGAUGUAAUUAGAAAAUAAAGAGCUCGGGAGUUUUGAAUUAAUUUUGCACUAGUAGAGUUGUAUCUCUUUUUUUUUAU